CCUGAUGUCUCCAAGGCAGGGACAAGCUCCACCGGCUACAUUUCUGUGUGCCUGUUAAAAACACGGAAUCAUACCAGAACCAACAUGGCACCGAGAUCAAAUCCCGUUAAAGAAGGGGCUAGCCAAGAUAUUUUGACCCUGAUGAUGUAUGGCCAAUAUAUAGUGGAAUAUAGAAGUUAACUGCUUGACAUAAGCUUCGCCAUUUUGUUUGUAAUAGAGUUUGUAAUAAGAAAUUGCUUAUGCUGAAAUAAUUUCCACCUCUGUUAGUUAGGUUUCCCACAGUUAGAAUUCAUUUUUAGCAUGAGAACCGCAAGCGCUGAGAAGGCAAGAUAGAGACCAGACCAGCUUGCUGCUUGCAUAUACUGAUUUAUGACCUAAUGCCAGACCCAUUUCCAGACGAAAGGGAAACUAACUUGAGUUAUGACCUACGACAUAUAACUGUUUCUUUUUCUGUAACUGUCUGUAACCAUUUUCUUGAGAAUACUUUGGUGUAUAAAAUGUGCUGCUUCUGUAUCAAGUCUUUGUCCUGCUUUGAGCGCGAGCCAAGCAGCACCUUUGCUACUUAAGGGCAAAUAAAACUUUGAUCUUAA